rnacentral:lncRNA from 1 species
AAAGUGUUGCCACUGAUUUUAAUAGGUAGGGUUUUAGCUCUUUAAACAAAACAGCCAAAUAAAACCAGAUAGAAAUCCCUUAAUUUUCCAUGUUUGAAAGGAAAACACAUCAGGGUAUUGUUUCUACAAGCAGAUGACAGAGGCCUGCUUGGAGUUUGCUUAAAUCACUGGUCUAAUAUAAAAAGAUCAUGUGACUGUUCUAAGUUUCUAAAGUUGUAUUUUUUUUAUGCUUUCUGAUUCCACACCAGUCACACCUGGAAUUACAUGGGUUUAACUGAGCAGCUGAAAACUUAUAAUUUUAACAAUUUAGAAGAUUAACUGUUUGGAUCUAAACAUUCUCAUAUUACGCUUUCUAUGAGCUACACUUACUUCACAUAUAAUUUUAACCUGAAUUAUUUGGAAAAAACCCCAUUCUCUUAUAGCCUGGAAAAUUAAGGUUUUAAAAAGUGGACUUACGCAAAUGAGAUUACUCUUUAGCAUUUUACAUACAAAUAGCUGAAACUUCAGAAUAGAUAAGUAAACACAGAACAAAUUUUCUUUCAUAAAUACCAGAAUUCAACCUAGCAGCCUCCUCAUCUUGGAAUUCCAUAACUUUUAAAGGAAAAUAUUAGAAAACACAUGGAAAUAUUAUUAUGCUAUAAUUAGAAAACUCAGGAAAAUAAAUUUUAUAAAGGUAGGGUGAACUUUAAACAUCAAUAUGAUUUUGGGAUUUACUUUGGAGAACUAAAAUCCUCCAUUUGAAAAUACAAAGCAAAGUUAAUUAGAAAACACAGUUUGAGCAAAGAGAGCUCUUGCAAAGGGCUCUUAAAAAGGAUCACCUUGAAUGUGUUUGAUGCUGAGGCGAUGCCAUAACUUUUCUUCACACAAAAGCAGUAAUCUACAGAGCACAACCAGAUGUUAAGUUUUCUUUUCUUAGUUUCUGUAAACCUCUGUGACCUCUCUCAAAUUAAAAAAGGGAAUAGCAUUUUUAAAGCCACAGGAGCUAUAAUUAGUGAAGCAUUCUAAGGAUUUUCAUUAAUUCAUAGCCAGCCAACCAGGAAUUUUCCCACAGCCGUAUACAAAAAAAAAGUCAGGGAAGUCAUUGAUUGCUUGGUUGGAUUUGAAUGUAGUCAGAAGUAAGAUCAGAAAUACCUAGUCACUCCCACUGAUACAAGCAUGAAGAACAUAGGCAAGGUCAGAAAUUAAAAUCCAAGUCUGCCCACCAACCAUGAGGAAAAUCCAGCAGGGCCAUAUAGCAGGGUGUAUAGAAAUGGUUAUUGCACACGAUUUUGCGAGAUAAAGGAUCAUUACAAAUCAAUCAUUUGGAAACCCAAGGCCAGAAGGUGCAGCUCCAAGCAGCUCUGCAGGCCCAGCAGCCCCAGAGCCGCCUGACGCUGUCCAGCCACUGCAACGCCCACAGCAGCUCACGGCCCUCACAAUUUAUGGAACCCUUUGAACUCCGCACGCUUCUGAACAGCCCCUCAUUGCUCCUGUGAGCCCAGGAGUGGCACCCAGGAGCUGCACCUCGUGUGAGAUGCUCUGAACACAAAGGCUGGAGGAGACACAAGGGCAGAUUUCAGCAGCAGUGCCCGCCAAGAGCCCGCAGGGCCCCGCGGGCCCGAGAUGUGCGCGGGCAGGGGCAGCAGGGAAGGACAGGCCCCUGGACAGACCCCGGGCAGGGGCAGGAUGGAAGGACAGACCGGACAGACCCCGGGCAGGGGCAGGAGGGAGGAACAGACCCCCGGGCAGGAAGGAGGGACAGACACCCGAGCUGCUGGAGCGCUCAUUCCGCGCUGCCACCAAAGGCUGCACAGCCAGCGCAGGAGGCAGUGUGGCAAGCACAUUUCUCUCCCUCUCAAGAUUUUUCAUAGAGGUGCACAGACAGAAAUGAAAGAGAAAACAAUUUAUAUUUCUGCUUCUUGUUUUUCCUAUGUGGAAUGUGUUUGGAGAAUUGUUUACCUGGGGUGAUUGCUUGAUUGGAUUCUGGUGAGGAUUAUUUGAGCCUGAUGGCCAAUCCAACCCACCUGGGGCUGGACUGGAGAGAGAGGGUCACAAGUUGUGUUAGAGUCAGAGAAAGUAGUAUGUAGUUUUAUCCUCCUUUUAUACAGCAUAUUAAUAUAUUAUAACUAAUGUAUUAGUUAUAAUAAAUAAUUCAGCCUUCAUCAUUUCUUCCCAUUGGGUUCGCCUGCAUUUACAAUAGGGCAGCGCUCCGCUGGCACUGCCGAGGGCUGGCACAGCACCAACAGGCACAGAUUGACUCAGAUCAGUCACAGACACACAGUUCGGGUUCUCCUCAAUCAACCAGAACACACAUCUCAGAGUUCAUGCUUGCAGGUAUGAUACCUGAUGUAGCAUGGAGUCCCCUAGGACAGAGCUACCUCUCACAUUUAUUUGGGCUUGUUGGAGCAUUAUUGAUGCACCCCAGAAGCAGAUUUACUGUCUUGCUGAAUAACAGCCCAAGGAGGAAUAAUAAAAAUAGAAUGGAACAAUUCUUCAAAGCCAAUAGCGACAUAAUAUUGUAACAGCCUUCAAGUGAGAGAAUUUCAGAGAAUAUAGUAUCUCUUGUAACAUUAAUCAGUGCUGAUGCCUGAUAAAACUCUAAUCCAAGCUUUCAUUAUUUUUCAUAAUCAAAUCAAACUUUGGGAGAACAAAUCCCAACCUGCACACUUGAUUUUCCUCACACUCCUGGAAUCUACCUUGCAGAGAUGAGAGGUGACAGGAAAACAAUGUACCUUUAAAAUCCAUAAAUGGCGUCUUGGACAUGACACUGAAAGUACAAUUUACUAAGAGAAACAAGUGGAAGCAUGUUAAAAUUACACAUUUAUACCCUGGUUUGGCUGGCAGAAUUUUGGCUAACCAGAGUGAUAAUACCUGUGUUUCUGUUGUAUGAAUAUUGCAAUGAACCUAUCCAUUACUGGCAUAUGCCUGUAUUCACUACUUUACUAAGUUUAUAUCUGGUCAAAGUUUUUAUGAUAAAAUCCCAUAGAAAUAUUGGGUGUCAGUAUGUGCCACUCCUUUUGAGGACAGCUGGGGAGGACAGUGAAACAAUUAUAAAAUUCUAUACUUGAAAAAUCCUUUUUCAAGUCUAGACUUAAAUUUUGACCCUUAAAUAAAGUCUCACAUUACCAUAACCUAAACCUAAAGUACUUCAGAUGUCUUGACUGACCUAACAUUAUUUUAGGUUACUGUAACUUAAACUUCCAUUCAAUCCUUUUUUAUAAUUCACAUAGAGAUAAGGAUAUAAAAAAUAAGCAUUCAUACAACUCAUACUACUUUUAUCAGUUUUUUUCCCAGGUGUGAUGUCUUAAUACAUAAUACUAAUUUUUAAACAUAAAAACAAGAAUGUAAACACUGCUAUAGGAACAUCAGCACUAACCUAAACUUUUAGAAAAAACGUAUUUCAGAUAUACCUCAUUAUACUGGUAGCAGUAAAUAUAAAAUCAAAGCAAUAUACUUGAAAAAAAUUUUACUUUUAAAAACUAAAAAUGGCAUUCGAGCUCAAAAGUUCUGCAGGAAUACUUCACACUCCUGUUGUUUGCUUCUAAAAACACAUGCUAAAUUUAUGGGUAAAAUUCAGCCUUUGAGCAUAAUUAAGCAGGCAAGCUCACAUCAAAGCUUUGUUUCAUCAUCUUUAGACUGAUCUGUUGGACAGCUGGUCCUUAUUAAACACCCUUUAAAUGUUGCAGUUUUAAGUAAGUAACAUCCAUGUUAUAUUAACAUUACCAAAUAAUUAACUAAAGAAAAACUAGUAUCAUCUAAUCAUGACAGCCUAACAUCCUUUCACCCGUGGACUAUAAAGUAUUAAUCUGUUAAAGCAGAACUUGUUCUUAAAUAAAUGUCUCAAGAUUUUAAAUGAACAAGUCUGAUACAGCAGUUUCUGUACUUGUACUAACUCAAAAGCAGAUUUUGAGGGGAAGUACGGCAGGGAGUGGAGUUCAGCAUCUAAAGUAAGGGACACAUUCUAGAGAGGAAAUCAAUCAAAUCUGUAACAGUCCCAAGUGACUUCAACUGCAGAAACCCUGUUAAAUCAACAGCUGAUGAAUUAUCAUCAUAUUCAGAUUGCCCAGUUUCAUGCAAACACAUAAGGAAAUACACAAUUUUGUUGGAAACACACAAUUUCGUUGCUAAUACUGAGAGUUAGUUUCAAUUACAUAAACAUAUGUUUCCAUAUUUUUUCCUCUAGGUCAUGUAUUUGAAUGCUCAUUCUGAAAACACAGCAUUAAACUGUAGAGCCUCACAGUUCCUGAGGAAACAGUCAUCUGUGACUUUAAACAUUAACAUAUUUAUGCUACUUUGUGCAUUUUUUAAAUCAUUUAAAUAGGCAGAUUGUCAUCAACACUUUUUGACACUAGAGUAGGAAUGGGUCUCAUUCUCUGCUACAUAAUUCAAUAAAUGAAAUUCAAAAGGAAACCCCAAAACAAGCCCUGGAGGGACCCCGAAGCCAAACUCUAAGCUAAACAAAAGUGAUACAGAUGCCUACCUGCAUGACUGACCAUGCCUGCAAAGCCUUGCACUCAACAUGUUGCAUUGUAUCUAAUCACAGAACACAGGAAGCUUUAAGUGACACAUCUCAUCAAUUCUGAAAUGUUAUCAAUUGUUCUGGAUGCCAGGGAGAGAAUCUAUUGAUUCUAUAAAUUCCAAAAAAAUGGCACAGAGAGAACUGCUGGCAUCUGGUCUGCAGAGCCUUAAAGCAGCUCUGGAACUGUCUAUAGAUUAAAGAACACCCUGAUGGCAAACAUUAACACCUUCCACUAUGCUCCAUCUUAGGUCUGUCUUCUGCCCAAUACCUUUUAAAAUUUUUAAAUACUCUGCAAGAGAAAAUCUGGGGUUUUUAACUGUUGGAAAAUAACAUUAAAUAGAAGGGAGAAAUUUAAAUUUCGGUAAUUUCUCACCAUUUUAAAGGAUGUUUUUCCUCCAAAAUAAAGUUCCCAAAACAUGUCCUUAGCUAGGAAAAGUAUUUCUGUAUGACCUAGCUCUGUGCCUGGUAGAUUCCUAAAUGUGGAGAAGUGUAAGUCUACUUUGGUAUGCUUGAGGAGAUAAAUGUAGGGACAGAGCAGCAUGAGCCUAAAGAAUAAUUAGGCAGGCAGAGAUCCCAAUAGUGGAGCAGUAGGACAUCUUCAGUGUCUCUGCUCUGAAGUGAAAGGAAAUAGAAAGUUCCUCACAUAAAGAGAAGGGGACACAGGGAGUUUCAGGGGGAGUGCACGGGAACAGAGCCCUCCAGUCUGUCUGAGCAGCUUUGCUUAGCAGAGCAAAGGAAGGUACAACUCUCUGCUAAUGAGGAAAGGAGGGCUGGUAAAAUGCUGGAUUAUUUGUUCUUCCUCAUCAUACAGUCCCAUUAAAUUUAUGCUUUAUACUGAACACGGUUCAGUGCCAGGAAGUUCAGAGGAAUUAAACAUAUGAAAAAAAUUACUCAUGUGUGCAGUCCCAUUAGAAUCUACAGAACAACUUGAAAGUAAAGUUGCUCAUGUGUUUAACACCGAAUAAAUGAAUCUGAAAUAUAUUCAAAUCAUUCUCAGAUCAUACGUCUGUCUUCUCUGUGCACCUCAUGGCUUGUUUAUAGCAUGAGAAAAAUUCAGGGUCUGCUUUUCCAGAGCAGCUCCCCAUGUGGACACACUUAUUCUAGAUUAAAACAGGCCCUUCUCUGAACUACUGCAAUUCUGGAUAAAGGUAUGCACAUGAGGUCCUAAGAUCAUCCAUAUGGAAAACUACUUUGCAAUACUAUUCUACUUUAAGCAA